rnacentral:tRNA from 1 species
UCCCUGAUCGUCUAACGGCAGGACGCCACGCUCUGGACGUGGAGAUCGAGGUUCGAAUCCUUGUCGGGGAG